GACGAACCACACGAACGUUAUUCGGAAUCACUGGGCUUAAAGGGUGCGUAGGUGGGCAAGUAAGUCAGUGGUGAAAUCUCCGGGCUUAACCCGGAAACUGCCAUUGAUACUAUUUGUCUUGAAUACUGUGGAGGUCAGCGGAAUAUGUCAUGUAGCGGUGAAAUGCUUAGAUAUGACGCAGAACACCAAUUGCGAAGGCAGCUUGCUACACUACUAUUGACACUGAGGCACGAAAGCGUGGGGAUCAAACAGG
rnacentral:rRNA from 1 species